rnacentral:lncRNA from 10 species
GCCAGCUCCUGCACAUCACUGAAAAGACUGGGCUUAAGGAGUGAGGCCUGAGCAUGGGGAUAUUUAAAACCUCCCCCAGGUGAUUCCACUGUGCAGCCAACUUUGAGAACCACUGACCUCUCUGUGUAGCUUUCUUCCAGGCUGCUGCUGCUGGCGCCCUUCCAUCGUCAACUCCACAACUCCCAGACUUGUCCUGUACACAAGAUCCGGAAGCCUGAAAGCUACACUUCCAUUAUGUCUUAUCAACAACAUUCCAGUUUAAGUCCCACCACUGAGAGGCACUCAUAUGAGCUUCAAGAGAGGAUCUGUGCCCAAGGCCUCAGAUAGAGAGACCUGGAAUGAAGGACUAGUAUGGGAAUGCAAGCAUGUGAAAAGCCUGAUUCCUCUGUUGCAUCUCCCUUCAGAGGCUGCCAUGCAAGGGCUGUGGCUGUGCACUAUGCAUGGACUGUGCAUCUCAUCUGGGGUGGGGAGGGCAGCUUUGCCCCUGAGGCCUGCCAGCUAGAGCCUUUGUCAUUGCCUCUGGACAGGCCUGAAAGCUCACACAUUGGUUUUUAACCAGGAGUAAACUUCUCUGAAGGAGCAAGAUUGGCAGUUUGCUAAAAGGCAUAUAGAUGGACCAAUGUGAAUGGACAUAAACCACAAGGAUCUUUGCCCCUCCCCUAAACACUCAACAGAGUAUCCACUGCAGAGUGGCACUCAGCCAGCAGGAGGAGAAGACUUGUCCUAUGGAUGUCAGCCAGCCUCUCUCUUUGGCCACCAUUAUGCUUGGAAAAUGGGCCCAUGGAUAGAGACCGCAUUGCCUCAGUGUUUUGGCUCCCUCUUGCCAAGCCUAAUCUAGUUAUUGAUACUGGUCAUCGCCUGACCUUCCAGCAGCAGUAAUGGAUGCUGAACCCACAACAUGGAAUCAUUCCUCAGGGAGACCAUAAAGUCACCUGGUGGCAAGUUGAUAACAUUGGCCCCUUCUGCGCUGGAGGAAGCAAGGAUUUGUUCUUGUUAGGGGAGGCAACUGCUGUAGACUCUAAGCCUCCCUGCGUGUUCUUGCUGGGUAUGACAAGAAUGCAAGGCCCUCACAGCUCUUGCCAGGUCAUUUAUCAAGGUUGUGUUUGCAGUAAUCAACCUUGAGAGAUGAAGUAAUAUCUCCCUCCAAGACAAAGAGAAGGUUUGUUUAUUGCUUUCUAUAAAACAAUGGUUUCCCAAGCUGCAUAUUCCUCAGUUGUGAUACAAACUUACUACAUCUAUCUGUGCCCUCUAUCAUACCCCCAUGAGACUUGGAGACAGGGGAGCUGACAUAUAUCAUGCUGCUUGCUGUGCUGGGAGUAAAAGUCUUUGUCUCUGAUCUAAGAGUCUUAUAUCUUCUGCCAGAAUCCAUAAAAUAGUAACAGGUUAACUUAUUACCUUCAAAAGUAAGGUAAAAUCUAAUUCCAAACCUAACAGUUUUUACCAGAAUUGCGAUCAAUUCCUGAUAUACACUUGCCUCCUCCACCUGUAGUACCGCUCUAUAAGCACCAUGAACCAAGGCGUCAUAGAAUGCCUGAACUAUUGACUUGGUACCCUGUACAAAAUUGCCUUAGAUCAAGGAACCUUUUUAACAGAAACGGAGGUACCAAAAAAUGACAUGACCAGAGCAUCUGCAGUUCUUAUCACACACCCCCUUAUUCAGAGGCAUUUGGUUUAACAGAAUGAUGGUCUGUUAGGUAAGGAGCCAGAUUAGGCUCAAAACCCCAUGGUUCUGGGAUACUUGCCUCUAGAAUCUGCUAGACACAUUGGACCAUGGAUGGAUAUAGAGUACUACAUCCCCCAUAGCUUGAAUGCCUGGGACCUGAAACCCAGUUGUGCAAGUAGAAAUGGACCUUCUCCCCAUCCCUCUCAGUGUCCUGUUUAUAGAAUCUAUGCUUCCCUUCCAGCAAACUUUGGCACUGCCAGGUUAGAAGUCUCAGUUCUUUGGGGAAAAACUUCAGCCAAAGGACACAAUAAGGGUUCCAUUGAACUUGGAGCUAUAACUACUACCAAGUCGUUUGCGGUGGACCAGCAAACUUGGAAAGGAGUUAUAUUAGCAUGGAAGUAAUUCACCCUGAUUCACAUGAAGUUCUACGGUUUUUUUUUUUUUCUACACAAUGGGGCAGGAAAGAAUAUGUUUAGAAUCCAGGAGAUACACUGGGGCAUCUCUUGGGAAUUCCACGCCCAGUGAGAAUGAUAAAUGGGCAAUAACAAGUACCAGAGCCCAGUAAAAGCAAGGCAACCUAGAAGCCUGGAUACCUUAAGGAUAAGAAUUUGAGUCAACCAUCAGGCAAAUCCUCCAGGCCAGUUCAGUGAUGGCUGAGUAAAAGGGAACUCUAGAAUGGAUGGUGUAGCAGAAAGAGGAUGAAAAUCAAUUACGGUCACAGGACCAGCUACAACUUUAGGAACUGCAAUUUACUUCACUGAUCUUCUUGCUUUAGUCUUCUUAGAGAUGUGACUGGCUACACCUUGCAAUAAACUCUAUGACAUUGAACUUACACUUUUUCUCUUAAGGAAUAAGUGAGACUAUCUUGUUCUAGCAAAAACGGAAGCUUAAAAAUUAACUGGGCAUGGUGGUGCACACCCAUAGUCCUAGCUACUCAGGAAGUGAGGCGGGAGGAUGGCUUGAGCUCAGGAGUUUGAGGCUGCAGUGAACCAUGAUCACACCAUUGCACUCCAGCCAGGGCAACCGAAUGAAACCCUGUCUCUAAGAAAAUAAAAAAUAAAAAUAAAAUUUUUUAAAGGCAGCUCCAUAUUUUCAUUGUGGUGCUAGAAACACUAGAGAGUGCAACUGAAUCUGAGUGGCGCAAGGGGCGGGCUGCAUCAAAUACUCCUUAGGCGCCACAUCAGAUCAUUUUGGCCUCACCCCUCUGAGGUCUUUGGCUUUUUCCACUUACUCUGAAGAACUUCUUGCAGCCACACCCAAUAGCACCUGUCUCAUGCCAGUGCCACAUACUUUUUG